rnacentral:rRNA from 1 species
UAGCUAGUUGGUGAGGUAAAGGCUUACCAAGGCGACGAUCUGUAGCGGGUCUGAGAGGAUGAUCCGCCACACUGGAACUGAGGCACGGUCCAGACUCCUACGGGAGGCAGCAGUGGGGAAUUUUGGACAAUGGGGGCAACCCUGAUCCAGCCAUGCCGCGUGAGUGAAGAAGGCCCUCGGGUUGUAAAGCUCUUUCGGCCGGGAAGAAAUCGCAUGGGCCAAUACCCUGUGUGGAUGACGGUACCGGAAUAAGAAGCACCGGCUAACUACGUGCCAGCAGCCGCGGUAAUACGUAGGGUGCGAGCGUUAAUCGGAAUUACUGGGCGUAAAGCGUGCGCAGGCGGUUUUGUAAGACAGGCGUGAAAUCCCCGGGCUUAACCUGGGAACUGCGUUUGUGACUGCAAGGCUAGAGUACGGCAGAGGGGGGUGGAAUUCCACGUGUAGCAGUGAAAUGCGUAGAGAUGUGGAGGAACACCAAUGGCGAAGGCAGCCCCCUGGGUCGAUACUGACGCUCAUGCACGAAAGCGUGGGUAGCAAACAGGAUUAGAUACCCUGGUAGUCCACGCCCUAAACUAUGUCAACUAGGUGUUGGGUGGGUAAAACCAUUUAGUACCGUAGCUAACGCGUGAAGUUGACCGCCUGGGGAGUACGGCCGCAAGGUUAAAACUCAAAGGAAUUGACGGGGACCCGCACAAGCGGUGGAUGAUGUGGAUUAAUUCGAUGCAACGCGAAAAACCUUACCUACCCUUGACAUGCCAGGAACUUGCCAGAGAUGGCUUGGUGCCCGAAAGGGAGCCUGGACACAGGUGCUGCAUGGCUGUCGUCAGCUCGUGUCGUGAGAUGUUGGGUUAAGUCCCGCAACGAGCGCAACCCUUGUCGUUAAUUGCCAUCAUUUAGUUGGGCACUUUAACGAGACUGCCGGUGACAAACCGGAGGAAGGUGGGGAUGACGUCAAGUCCUCAUGGCCCUUAUGGGUAGGGCUUCACACGUCAUACAAUGGUCGGUACAAAGGGUUGCCAAGCCGCGAGGCGGAGCCAAUCCCAGAAAGCCGAUCGUAGUCCGGAUUGCAGGCUGCAACUCGCCUGCAUGAAGUCGGAAUCGCUAGUAAUCGUGGAUCAGCAUGUCACGGUGAAUACGUUCCCGGGUCUUGUACACACCGCCCGUCACACCAUGGGAGCGGGUUCCGCCAGAAGUAGGUAGCCUAACCGCAAGGGGGGCGCUUACCACGGCGGGGUUCGUGACUGGGGUGAAGUCGAAACAAGGUAGCCGUAGGGGAACCUGCGGCUG